AGGCUGGAGGAGCUACCGGAGGUGUAAUUUCAGACCCUGUAACUAUGCAGAAGGCUGUAACAGUCAAAUAUGCUGGCUUUGAUUAAUCACUUCAAAGAUGUUCCAAGGGAUUUGUAAAAAAAAAAAAAGGUAUCAUGGAAAGAAUUUGUUUAGAUCUCUAGGUACCACAAGGACCAUCGAAUGAGACUAGAAGCUAGAUACUAUUCAUAAUAGAACUUCAGGUGACCCCUCUGAGCUCUCGGCCUCCAUUGGCGCCUCAGGCAAACAACCAGCCCAUGUUCCCCCACCCUCUCCAGACCAGACUGACCGGUCAUAUACAUACGCAGACAUAGCAGGAAGUUGCAAUAGGCCCGUGCAACCCAAGCUUCAUCAGCAAUGCUUUUCCAAUAGUCUUGAAGGAGAUCCCACAA